rnacentral:rRNA from 1 species
CGAGGGCGCUGGUAGCUUGAAGGGGGCUGCUCCUAGUACGAGAGGACCGGAGUGGACGAACCUCUGGUGUUCGGGUUGUGUCGCCAGACGCAUUGCCCGGUAGCUAAGUUCGGAAUCGAUAACCGCUGAAAGCAUCUAAGCGGGAAGCGAGCCCUGAGAUGAGUCUUCCCUGAUACUUUAAGUAUCCUAAAGGGUUGUCGGAGACUACGACGUUGAUAGGUCAGGUGUGUAAGUGCUGUGAGGCAUUGAGCUAACUGAUACUAAUUGCCCGUGAGGCUUAACCAUACAACACCCAAGGGGUUU